rnacentral:rRNA from 1 species
CUACGGAGGGUCCAAGCGUUAUCCGGAAUCAUUGGGUUUAAAGGGUCCGUAGGCGGGCAAUUAAGUCAGAGGUGAAAUCCCACAGCUCAACUGUGGAACUGCCUUUGAUACUGGUUGUCUUGAAUUAUAGUGAAGUAGAUAGAAUAUGUAGUGUAGCGGUGAAAUGCUUAGAUAUUACAUAGAAUACCGAUUGCGAAGGCAGUCUACUAACUGUAUAUUGACGCUGAUGGACGAAAGCGUGGGGAGCGAACAGGAGUAGAAACCCUAGUAGUCC